rnacentral:rRNA from 1 species
AGUGAACGCUGGCGGUAGGCCUAACACAUGCAAGUCGAUCGGCAGCACAGGAGAGCUUGCUCUCUGGGUGGCGAGUGGCGGACGGGUGAGGAAUACAUCGGAAUCUACCCUGUCGUGGGGGAUAACGUAGGGAAACUUACGCUAAUACCGCAUACGACCUACGGGUGAAAGCAGGGGAUCUUCGGACCUUGCGCGAUUGAAUGAGCCGAUGUCGGAUUAGCUAGUUGGGGGGGUAAAGGCUCACCAAGGCGACGAUCCGUAGCUGGUCUGAGAGGAUGAUCAGCCACACUGGAACUGAGACACGGUGCAGACUCCUACGGGGGGCAGCAGUGGGGAAUAUUGGACAAUGGGCGCAAGGCUGAUCCAGCCAUACCGCGUGGGUGAAGAAGGCCUUCGGGUUGUAAAGCCCUUUUGUUGGGAAAGAAAUCCAGCUGGCUAAUACCCGGUUGGGAUGACGGUACCCAAAGAAUAAGCACCGGCUAACUUCGUGCCAGCCGCCGCCGUAA